UACAUGUGGGGCAAGCGUUGUUCGGAAUUACUGGGCAUAAAGGGUGCGUAGGUGGUUUGUUAAGUCAGGGGUGAAAUCCCACGGCCCAACCGUGGAACUGCCUUUGAUACUGGCGAACUGGAGUGCGUGAGGGGUAGGGGGAACGAGCAGUGUAGCGGUGAAAUGCGUAGAUAUUGCUCGGAAGGCCAGAGCCGAAGGGGCCCUACUGGUACGUAACUGACGCUGAGGCACGAAAGCGUGGGGAGCAAACAGG
rnacentral:rRNA from 1 species